GCGCCUAAUGGCAAAGCUACUUAUAUUUCAUCAUAACUACCAUAGAAAAGUUAUCGUAAAGGAGUUAUGAUUUAAU
rnacentral:sRNA from 20 species